CAUGAUGGACCUGGUUCAUGACUGAGUUCAUUUUGUCAAUCUUCAAAACUUCAUCUGAACUUGGGCCAACAUAAAGUACUCCCUACUCUAGAAGAAUUGCUGACAAGACUACUGAGCAAACUCUGAAGUAUAUUCCAUCAUGUGUCUUCUGGUUUUGGAAAGCUUUAUAAAGGGCGAUGAACACAAACGAAGUGGAUCUGCUGUACUUUCUGAGAGCUCUUUGAGGAAAAACAUGGCUGGGUGCAGUUUUAUUCUUUGAAUAUGUCUAUUUUCUCGCAUCGUCUCUAUUUUAGUUUGGCAAGCGCUUGAUGUUUAAUGUGAGAGUCCAUUUCCGGUACGGAUAGCAAAUCAUAUGCUGAGGAAACUGCAUGCAGUUCGGUUCGAGAGGCCUGAUUGACAUGAGAUGGAUUAUGAGAUUCUUGAUUCACCUGGGAAAUUGUAUCUGAAAGUCAAAAACCAGUCCUAACACACACACAUCCAUGUUAUGAAGUGAAAAAUUAAGCGUUGUGCUUACAACGGUCUUAAAAUGAAAUCCAUAUUGCGUUUUUGACGUCUCUGUGGAGAAGCAUUUAAGUCCUGUCUGGAGAAGCACACGAAAUGCAGACUUAUAUUCGAUAGAUAUUGUUAUAGAUAUGAUUCUGAGAAUUCUGGUUUUACUAUUCACUUUGCUGUUUGUCAACAUGUAGAAGCCAUGAAUUUGAUAUCGCGAGCAUGAUGUCGGAAUUACUUGA